UACGUAGGGUGCGAGCGUUGUCCGGAAUUACUGGGCGUAAAGAGCUCGUAGGUGGUUUGUCGCGUUGUCCGUGAAAACUCACAUCUCAAUUGUGGGCGUGCGGGCGAUACGGGCAGACUGGAGUACUGCAGGGGAGACUGGAAUUCCUGGUGUAGCGGUGGAAUGCGCAGAUAUCAGGAGGAACACCGGUGGCGAAGGCGGGUCUCUGGGCAGUAACUGACGCUGAGGAGCGAAAGCGUGGGGAGCGAACAGG
rnacentral:rRNA from 1 species